UUGAAGACGGCAAAUGUCAACCUAUGGCAUCAAUUGGUGACUCUGGAAAACUAGUCCCACAUAGUACAGGGAGGCCUCGAAGAACUCUUGUACCUUUCCGUUAAGCCCAAAGACACCAUCCAGAUACCUUCCUUCCUGAUUCCAGAGCGCUUCAGGUCCUUUGGUGGCCAUGCUUUUCGUCUCCUAUGCUGAGUCAUAUUCAUUUCCCUGACUUCUUAACACUGGUAUUUGUCUCCUCCAACCAUACCCACCUCCAAGCCCGCCAGGGAAAUCAGGAGCAGCCCAGAUCCGUCGUCAGGAUGCCAUGCUAACACCAGCGGGAAAGGCUUAGUCUGUGCCCUCUCCGCUCCCCAUCUCAUGCCCAGCCAGUGUUUUGG